rnacentral:rRNA from 1 species
AUGGCGGUAGGACGUGCAAACCUACCGCCGGCCCUCCUGGCGGUAGUCAAAAGGGUCAAAUCCCAAAAUAGUUUCAGACAGGGGUCAAAUCUCGAAUUUCUUUGUAAAGAGGGUCAAAACACGAAAUUUUGCCUCCUCUCGCGUGAUCGUGUCCGUUCCUUCCCCAUUCUCGAUCCAGCUCUCCCUGGACUUGGUGAUGGUGUAGGCCUUCCUGAUCUUCAUCCUGGCCUCCUCCGCCGCCGCGUCAGCCGGCACCACCAUCAGCGGCCCCAAGGCCACGGCCACCUGCUGCUCCUUCCCCUUCCCCCUCCCCCUCCGCCGUACUUGCCGCAUCCUCCCACGACGGCCGCUGCAGCCUCGGGCGUCUUGGGUGUUGUGCGGGCCCAUCGACACCAUCCGACGGCCGCGCGCGCAGACCCCCGCGACUGA